GCCUUAAACACUUAAUUGAUUAAUCUAUCUUCAAAUAAUUUUGGAUCUACACAAUUUUCCCUGCCACUUUAAUUUACACCAAUACUACUUAUGGGCUUACAUCUUUCUCAUCUUUAUUGAUUUUCAGAAACUUAAACACAAUUGAUAGAACUUAGAGUUUUUUGUAUUAGGAAUCUUGUUUUGUCUUAGUUGAUAUAUUUACUGUAUUGGUCUAUCUAGAUUGGUAGUAAUUUGUUAAGUUUAAUGAUGUUUUAACUAAACUUUAUCUUUCUCUAGUAUUUUUCAAGGGAGCCUUUUAAGAUCUAUUUUUUUUAUUAAAUAAAUAAUUGAAUAAUUGAUUACAAAGGCUAAAAUCUUCUAAUAACCAACUACAUCAAAUUCUUAAAAAAGAAUUAGCUCCUCAAUAGAUUGCAUUCUUCUUUAAAACAAACUUAAUAUUUUUUGUUUUUGGUCAAGUAUCUAGGACUACUCCUUAAUAUUAUUAUUUAAUUGAACAUCCUUGUGAUUAUUCACUCUUCCAUAAAUAACUUAAAAUCUAUCACUAUAAUCUUUACACCUAGAAGUUAAAAUCAAAUUUCAUUUAAAUUUUUUUAAAAGAAUCUUUAGAUGCAUCAAAUCACUUUUUAUUGAUUUUCCAAUAUUAAAAUAAAAUCUUAAUCACAUGGAUUACAUGAAACUUAAUCAGAAAUAUCACGUGGUAUGGUCAAAUAAAAAAAAAUUAACUGACUUUUCAAAAAAUAAUAAUUGUAAAUAUGUAUGUACUUAAUAUAUUAAUUGUCAAAUAUAUGAAUGUAAAAGUAGUCAAUAAAUAUAAUAAAUGUAUAGUAAGUUAAAAAAUAAUAAUAAAUAAUAAUAUUAUUGAAAAAAUAAUAAGUAAUGUAUAUAUAUAUAUAUAUAUAUGUAUAUAUAUAUGUUUGAAACAGUUGAUUCAUCGUUUAACCAUCUUUUGGACUAUUUGUGAAAACUCUAGUCCCGAGACUGACGGAUAAAUGAGGUUCUACUGUACAUGCUUUCACUGAUUAAAAUGAAUACGUGCUGUGAUAUAUUGAAGGACUUUGAAUCUGGCCCACUAGAUUUUUAUAGAAAAAAAGCUACCAUCAAUUGGAAAAAAAUGCGAGUUUUUAUAGGAACUGAAGAGAGUUUACGAUAUAAGCUGCUGUAUGUUCUUUACAUUUUCCCUUAAAUGAAGAAAGAAUUAAUGUGCAAAAUAUUUUGGAUUAUUCUCCUGCAAAAUGUGGUAGAAAACUAAAACCUACUGCUAUCCAUUUUAGGUUGGUUUCAAUUUAAUUUUGUGAUUUUUUUUUUUUAUUAAGUAAAUAAUUUAAAAUAUGAAUUAAUUUUAGGUAUUUAU